rnacentral:snoRNA from 1 species
GCCCUCUCAGGGUCGCACCUGGAGAGUUUCCAGUCCUCUACCAGUCUCGGCUAAGUGAGGGAGAGUCAGGCCGAGGCCUGCCCAUUCCAUUCCUAGCUUGGGCAGUGGCUAGAGAGUGGAAGGCCGUCAGCUACAAGU